rnacentral:rRNA from 1 species
CCCUUAGAUGUUCUGGGCCGCACGCGCGCUACACUGAUGCAUUCAACGAGUUUUACCUUGGCCGAGAGGCCUGGGCAAUCUUUUAAACCUGCAUCGUGAUAGGGAUAGAUUAUUGCAAUUAUUAAUCUUGGACGAGGAAUUCCUAGUAAACGCAAAUCAUCAAUUUGCAUUGAUUACGUCCCUGCCCUUUGUACACACCGCCCGUCGCACCUACCGAUUGAGUGGUCCGGUGAGGCUUUGGGAUCUGAGCGGAAAGAGCGUUUCGCUGUUUCUGCUCGGAAAACUCAGUCGAACCUUAUCAUUUAGAGGAAGGAGAAGUCGUAACA